UAAUGGCAGGUCAGCAUACUGCCGUGAAUACGUUCCCGGGCCUUGUACACACCGCCCGUCACACCAUGAGAGUUGGGGAUACCCGAAGCCUGUGAGCUAACUAUUUAUAGGAGCAGGCAGUCGAAGGUAGAAUCAAUGAUUGGGGUGAAGUCGUAACAAGGUAGC
rnacentral:rRNA from 1 species